UACGUAGGGGCUAGCGUUAUCCGGAAUUACUGGGCGUAAAGGGUGCGUAGGCGGUUUCUUAAGUCAGAGGUGAAAGGCUACGGCUCAACCGUAGUAAGCCUUUGAAACUGGGAAACUUGAGUGCAGGAGAGGAGAGUGGAAUUCCUAGUGUAGCGGUGAAAUGCGUAGAUAUUAGGAGGAACACCAGUUGCGAAGGCGGCUCUCUGGACUGUAACUGACACUGAGGCACGAAAGCGUGGGGAGCAAACAGGAUUAGAUACCCCCGUAGUCCCUGAGCGGG
rnacentral:rRNA from 1 species